rnacentral:rRNA from 1 species
CCUACGGGAGGCAGCAGUAGGGAAUAUUGCUCAAUGGGGGAAACCCUGAACCAGCAACGCCGCGUGGGGGAUGAAGGUUUUCGGAUUUUAAACCCUUUUUUUUAGGGAAGAAAAUACCGGUAUCUAACGAAUAACCACCGGUUAACUCCGUGCCAGCAGCCGCGGUAUUACGGAGGGUGCAAGCGUUAUUCGGAAUCACUGGGCGUAAAGAGGGCGUAGGCGGGAUAGCAAGUCAGAUGUGAAAUCCUAUGGCUUAACCAUAGAACUGCAUUUGAAACUGUUAUUCUAGAGUAUGGGAGAGGUAGGUGGAAUGCUUGGUGUAGGGGUAAAAUCCGUAGAGAUCAAGAGGAAUACUCAUUGCGAAGGCGACCUGCUAGAACAUAACUGACGCUGAUGCGCGAAAGCGUGGGGAGCAAACAGGAUUAGAUACCCUUGUAGUC